CCUACGGGAGGCAGCAGUGGGGAAUAUUGGACAAUGGGCGAAAGCCUGAUCCAGCAAUGCCGCGUGAGUGAUGAAGGCCUUAGGGUUGUAAAGCUCUUUUACCAGGGAUGAUAAUGACAGUACCUGGAGAAUAAGCUCCGGCUAACUCCGUGCCAGCAGCCGCGGUAAUACGGAGGGAGCUAGCGUUGUUCGGAAUUACUGGGCGUAAAGCGUGCGUAGGCGGUGAUUCAAGUCAGAGGUGAAAGCCUGGAGCUCAACUCCAGAACGGCCUUUGAAACUAGAUCGCUAGAAUUAUGGAGAGGUAAGUGGAAUUCCGAGUGUAGAGGUGAAAUUCGUAGAUAUUCGGAAGAACACCAGUGGCGAAGGCGACUUACUGGACAUAUAUUGACGCUGAGGUACGAAAGCGUGGGGAGCAAACAGGGAUUAGAUACCCUGGUAGUCCACGCCGUAAACGAUGAUAAACUAGCUGUUCGGGGCUCUCAAGAGNUGUAGUGGNGCAGCUAACGACAUUAAGUUAAUUACGUCCGUCGGGAGGUACGGUACGGCGAAGAAGUUAAACUAACGAAAGAAAGUUAGUACGGACGUAGAGACGUACGCCGACGGACGACGACGAGGGAGAGG
rnacentral:rRNA from 1 species